AAGGUUGUUCCAACAAGUCCGAAACAGUCAUGAUAUAACAAUAUUAUUACAACCUUGUGUCAUCAAAAUGUAAUAUUCUUGUCAUAUCAUGACUGUAUCAGACUUUUUAGAACAACCUU